rnacentral:rRNA from 1 species
AACGAACGCUGGCGGCAUGCCUAACACAUGCAAGUCGAACGAGACCUUCGGGUCUAGUGGCGCACGGGUGCGUAACGCGUGGGAAUCUGCCCUUGGGUUCGGAAUAACUCGCCGAAAGGCGUGCUAAUACCGGAUGAUGACGUAAGUCCAAAGAUUUAUCGCCCAAGGAUGAGCCCGCGUUGGAUUAGCUAGUUGGUGAGGUAAAGGCUCACCAAGGCGACGAUCCAUAGCUGGUCUGAGAGGAUGAUCGGCCACACUGGGACUGAGACACGGCCCAGACUCCUACGGGAGGCAGCAGUGGGGAAUAUUGGACAAUGGGCGAAAGCCUGAUCCAGCAAUGCCGCGUGAGUGAUGAAGGCCUUAGGGUUGUAAAGCUCUUUUACCCGGGAUGAUAAUGACCGUACCGGGAGAAUAAGCUCCGGCUAACUCCGUG